rnacentral:lncRNA from 1 species
UGGGAAGAGCUUUCAAUUACAGGGUCAGUUUGAAAGCAGCCACACUACCCCAAAUGAGGCAGGAGUGAGACGCUGCAGAGAGACUUCCAGCCUCAGGAAAGAGAAUAGCUCGGGGUUGCCUCAAAGACAGAAGGGAAAGUAGGUGGGGCCUAAGGGGACAGCAAGGAGGCAUUUUCAUACAAGGUGCUUCCCUCCCUGGGAUAGAGGGAACACAGAGGGAGGUGGUCUGUGUCAUGCUCCUGUGCGUGCCCAGCAUACACAAGCUGGUUCCUGGGAAGUAGGUCAGUGGGCUGUGGGUCACUUUUAACAAUUGGGUGACCCACAACAUUAUCCCAUGCCCUACAGGACUCUGCCAGGCAGAUUUGCUCUCCUGGUACCUAUGUUGGUGUGAUGUCACCAAGGUGUUUGUGGUCCCUGUCCCGUAGGAGCCUGAAGCACAUACAGACACAGGGUCCAUUACAGUGGGAAACAUGUCGUGAGCUGGCCUAAGGAAGAGUCAGGGAGGGGACAAGAGUUUCAGAGGCCUAGGAGCACCACUGCUCCUCCUGCGCAGAAGAGGAAACCAGGAAGGGAAAUAAACCCUUCCUAGUCCUCAGGACAGUUUCCAGAACCAGGAACAGAGUUAGCAUUAGAAAUUGGAUCCAAAAAAAAAAAAAAAAAAAGAAAUUGGAUCCAAACUGGGAUCUCCAAGUUUGCUAGGGGUUCACAGUGUUGAGAGAGCUGUUGCUAACUUCCAUGUUCCCCACCUGGGAAGGGGCUGUGUACAGCUCCAUGCCCCCACAGGUGGCUCAAGCAGGGACAGCUUAGGGAUGGUGGAGAGUAACAAGUGACACCAGACCAGAGGAGAGACGGCUACAGUAGUGUUGCUGUGCCACCAUAGGUCAUGAACAGUCCUGGUCUUUGCUACUCACAACCCAGAGCCUUCUCUGCCUGUGGGCACUAGAGACUCAAGGACUGACUGCCCAUCCGUUUCAUCCCGGACAGCAACAGACAGCAGGUGAUGUCAGGCAGAGGGCAGGGUGCUGGUUAAACUCUGCCCAGCCUUGGGCAUCUGUCACAGACUCUUACUGGUCCUCAGGCUGGAGACAUUUACAGGACCAGGGGGGUGGGACUUCAGCAUCUCCCCUUGUCCCAUGCAUGCCACCAUCAUGGUACCAGAUAGCGGGUGAGUGGCCGGAAGAGGAUUUGAGUAAGACCCAGGCUUCAGACUCAGUAGUUUGGGAAGGGUCACACCCCCACAGACAUAGCAUUAACCCCUGGAAGACCCAAGGCCAGCAGCACCCUGGAUUUCCUUUCCCUCUCCACAGCCUCGCUUUCUUCCCACAUUCUUCUCCUUGGAGAGGGUUCCCCACAGCCAUGCCCUAUGGAACUGGGGUUCCCUUUUCCCUGUCAAGCACAAAAGAAAGUCUGAGAAACGUGGGUUCCACAGGAGUUUAUCACUGCAGGGACCCUUUGAGAGAAUCAUAUUUCAUUUACAGUCAUACAUAGAGUGAGAGAUUGGGAGCCCCAUCUUCUGCCUUCUGAGAUGACAUAUCCUGCGUGGUCACAG